CAGGUUUUGGAUAACUGAAGAAUGUCAUGAUCUGUUAAUAUUCAGGAAAAAAAAAAUGUGGCUUUGUGCCAUUUGUCUACGAAGAAAAGCGAUGCAGCGCCAAUGAAUGGGUUGUAAAGGCGGAGCUCAUGGCUUAAACCAAAGUCUUGCUCACAGCAUGUGGCCAGAGGUGCGGUUGUGUCUGGAGCGCAAUAACUUCAAUGCUUAAAUAAAGUGGCCGUGGAACAAA